UAGAGUUUGAUCCUGGCUCAGGAUGAACGCUGGCGGCGUGCCUAAUACAUGCAAGUCGAACGCACAGCGAAAGGUGCUUGCACCUUUCAAGUGAGUGGCGAACGGGUGAGUAACACGUGGAUAACCUACCUCAAGGUUGGGGAUAACAUUUGGAAACAGAUGCUAAUACCGAAUAAAACUUAGUAUCGCAUGAUACCAGGUUAAAAGGCGCUACGGCGUCACCUAGAGAUGGAUCCGCGGUGCAUUAGUUAGUUGGUGGGGUAAAGGCUUACCAAGACAAUGAUGCAUAGCCGAGUUGAGAGACUGAUCGGCCACAUUGGGACUGAGACACGGCCCAAACUCCUACGGGAGGCUGCAGUAGGGAAUCUUCCACAAUGGGCGAAAGCCUGAUGGAGCAACGCCGCGUGUGUGAUGAAGGCUUUCGGGUCGUAAAGCACUGUUGUAUGGGAAGAACAGCUAGAGUAGGGAAUGACUUUAGUUUGACGGUACCAUACCAGAAAGGGACGGCUAAAUACGUGCCAGCAGCCGCGGUAAUACGUAUGUCCCGAGCGUUAUCCGGAUUUAUUGGGCGUAAAGCGAGCGCAGACGGUUAAUUAAGUCUGAUGUGAAAGCCCGGAGCUCAACUCCGGAAAGGCAUUGGAAACUGGUUAACUUGAGUGCAGUAGAGGUAAGUGGAACUCCAUGUGUAGCGGUGGAAUGCGUAGAUAUAUGGAAGAACACCAGCGGCGAAGGCGGCUUACUGGACUGUAACUGACGUUGAGGCUCGAAAGUGUGGGUAGCAAACAGGAUUAGAUACCCUGGUAGUCCACACCGUAAACGAUGAACACUAGGUGUUAGGAGGUUUCCGCCUCUUAGUGCCGAAGCUAACGCAUUAAGUGUUCCGCCUGGGGGAGUACGACCGCAAGGGUUGAAACUCAAAGGGAAUUGACGGGGGAC
rnacentral:rRNA from 1 species